rnacentral:rRNA from 1 species
UCUCUAGAAAUGUUUUCCGCGUUGGACCGCACACAAGUCUGUUGGAAUACAGCGGCAUAGUGGUGAGACCCCCGUAUAUGGUGCGGACGCCCAGCGCUUUGUGAUACAUUUUCGAAGAGUCGAGUUGUUUGGGAAUGCAGCUCAAAUUGGGUGGUAAAUUCCAUCUAAAGCUAAAUAUUGGCGAGAGACCGAUAGCGAACAAGUACCGUGAGGGAAAGAUGAAAAGCACUUUGGAAAGAGAGUUAACAGUACGUGAAAUUGUUGGAAGGGAAACGCUUGAAGUCAGACUUGCUUGCCGAGCAAUCGGUUUGCAGGCCAGCAUCAGUUUUCCGGGAUGGAUAAUGGUAGAGAGAAGGUAGCAGUUUCGGCUGUGUUAUAGCUCUCUGCUGGAUACAUCUUGGGGGACUGAGGAACGCAGUGUGCCUUUUGGCGGGGGUUUCGACCUCUUCACACUUAGGAUGCUGGUGGAAUGGCUUUAAACGACCCGU